rnacentral:rRNA from 1 species
AUCCGAGCAUUCGUUCGUUAAUUGCGUACAGCUCAUUCAUCAGUGAUAAUCUCUUUGAAUAUGAUUUCUAUAAGGAUAUCGAUAGAAACACUAGCUCUAAUACUUGCUUUUAGACUGUCAUUUACUUGGCGGUUGUAUUUAUUAGAUUUAAUCAACCUCAUAGUUUCGGCUAUGUUUUGGUGAUUCCUACUAACUGUUCGGACCACNNNNNNNNNAUUCGUGUGGCAGUUCAUUCGAGUUUCUGUGGUAUUAGCUGUGAUGGUAGUGUAUUGGACUACCAUGGCAUUGAUGCCAACGGGGUGCUAGAGCACGACACCGGAGAACUUAGCCUUAGAGACGGCUAGUAUCACCAAGGUAAGCAGCAGGCGCGAAAAUUACUCUAUUUAGACACAAAGAAGUAGUGACCACCAAUACAGAUAUUAUAAGCUUCGGUUUGUAAUAAUCUGAAUGAGACCAAUGUAAAUAUCUUCAACGAAAGCUAGAGGAGGGCAAGUCCGGUGCCAGCAGCCGCGGUAAUUCCGGCUCCUUCAGCCUGAGGUAGAAUUGUUGUAGUUAAAACGCUCGUAGUUGGAUUUUGUAAGAGUUUUGUGUGUGUCGGUUGCGUAUAUAUUCGUAUAUUCGUGAUUCUUCAUGCCACUUUUAUACUGAUUGUGGAUAAUUUUCGGAUUAUUUGCAAUAUUACUGUGAGAAAAAGAGUGCGCUUAAGGGCGGCUUUAUGCUAAGAUCAUUUAGCAUGGAAUAAACAUAACGGACUUUGGUUUUGUUAUGUGUUGGUUCAAUAUCAAGUCAUGAUUGAUAAGGAUGGUUUGGGGAUGUUCGUAUUUAUACUCGAGGGGUGAAAUCUUUUGACAGUAUAAGGACGAUCUUUAGCAAAAGCAUUCAUCAAUUCCAUACCUUUUAAUCAAGAACGAAAGUUGGGGGAUCGAAAGUGAUUAGAUACCACUGUAGUCUCAACCAUAAACGAUGUCAACUAUGGAUUCGUUUUGAUCAUAUUUGAGGCUUCCGAGCUUCAAUUUCGACGAAAUGAGAACAUUGUGAGAAAUCAAAGUUUUUAGACUCUAGGGAGAGUAUGAGUGGCAAUACUGAAAUUUAAAGGAAUUGACGGAAGUGGUACCACAAGGAGUGGAGCUUGCGGCUUAAUUUGACUCAACGCGGGAAACUUUACCAGUGCCGAACAUUGUGAGGAUGGACAGAUUGCAGUUCUUUCCUGAUUCUGUGCUUUUACGUAGUGCAUGGCCUUUGGGAAGUGAGUGGAUUGAUUUUUCUGAUUAAUUUCGAUAACUAGCGAGACCUCGAUCAUGUNAUUGGAGCAUCACAGUCUCGAUGUAUGUAUGCUCCUCUUAGUGAGACAAUUGGUGGUAUAGCCAAAUGAAGUACGAGGCGAUAAAAGGUCCGUGAUGCUCUUAGAUGUUCUGGGCUGCACGCGCGCUACACUGAUUCUUUCAUCAAGUAUUGUAUGCAAUUGUUCGCAAUUUCAUAUCCUGUAUAGAGAUAUAUGGGCAAUCUUGCAAAGAGAAUCGUGCUGGGGAUAGAUGAUUGCAAUUAUUCAUCUUGAACGAGGAAUUCCUAGUAAACACAUGUCAUCAGCAUGUAUUGAAUACGUCAAUGCCCUUUGUACACACCGCCCGUCGCUGUUACCGAUUGAAUGGCUUAGUGAAAUGUGAGGAGGUUGUUUUUAAUAGCUGAAUCACCUUAAACUGCGUCAUUAGAGGAAGCAAAGUNACCU